GUCUCGUUCGUCUAGCGGUCAGGACGUCGGGUUUUCAUCCCGAAGAUCGUGGGUUCGAAUCCCACACGAGGCCCCA
rnacentral:tRNA from 1 species